UUCCAGCUCCGAUAGCGUAUAUUUAAAUUUGUUGCAGUUAAAAAGCUCGUAGUUGGAUUUCUGAUGGGUUCUAGCGAACCCUCUCUGAUGUGCACAGCUAGCGUCUAACUUUCUGCCACCUACGGGCUCCUGGGCUUACUUGUCCGCCAGUCGGAAUCGGGGAGUUUACUUAGAUUAAAUCAAGGCGUUCAGAGCAGGCAUACUCUCUGAAUGCCUUAUGAUGGAAAAACACGAUAGGACUCUGACCUAUCUUGAUGAUCUGUACGACCGGAGUAAUGAUUAAGAGGGACAGUCGGGUGCAUUCGAAUUUCAUUGUCAGACGUGAAAUUCUUGAAUUUAUGAAAGACCAACUUCUGCGAAAGCAUUUGCCAAGGAUGUUUUCAUUAAACAGAAACGAAAGUUGACGGCUCGAAGACGAUUAGAUUCCGUCGUAGUCUCAACCAUAAACGAUGCCGGCUAGGGAUUGGCACGUGUUUCGUUGAUGACCCUGCCAGCUCCUUAUGAGAAAUCAAAGUUUUUGGGUUCCGGGGGGAGUAUGGUCGCAAGGCUGAAACCUAAAGGAAUUGUCGGAAGGGCACCCCCAGGCGUGGACCAUGCGCCGUACUUUGACUCAACACGGGAAAACCUAGCAGGUCCAGACACGGGGAGGACUGACAGAUUGAGAGCUCUUUCUUGUUUCUGUGGCAGGUGGUGCAUGCACGUUGUUACAUUGGUGGGUUCACUCGUCAGGUUGAUUACGGUAGCGAACGAGACCUCAGCAUCCUAAAUAGUCUCGUCUACCUUCGGUAGACACCUUCCUUGUUAGAGGGACUAUUGGCGGUUACCCAAUGGAAGUGGGAGGCGAUAACAGGUCUGCGACGCCCUUAGAUGUUCUGGGCCGCACGCCCGCUACCAUGAUGCAUUCAACGAGCCUAUCCUUGGCCGAGAGGUCCGGGUAAUCUUAGAAACUGCAUCGUGAUGGGGAUAGAUUAUCCAAUUUAUUAGUAUUCAAUGAGGAAUGUUUAGUAAGCCCGAUUCAUCAGCUCGCGGUGAAUACGUUCCUGGCCUU
rnacentral:rRNA from 1 species